CCUCCCUAAAGGGGACAGGACUGGGAGGUUGUUGAAGACCAACUAUUAGAGUUGAUAUGAAUGUGUUUCUCCUCCCUAAAGGGGACAGGACUGGGAGGUUGUUGAAGACCAACUAUUAGAGUUGAUAUGAAUGUGUUUCUCCUCCCUAAAGGGGACAGGACUGGGAGGUUGUUGAAGACCAACUAUUAGAGUUGAUAUGAAUGUGUUUCUCCUCCCUAAAGGGGACAGGACUGGGAGGUUGUUGAAGACCACAGGAAACUACUACACUUGAUACUAAUGUAUCUGUCUGUCUCUCCUGUUCUCCAGGUAACAUCAUUGGGUCGGGGAUAUUCAUCUCUCCUAAGGGUGUUUUGGAGCACGCUGGUUCGGUGGGUCUGUCCCUCAUCGUAUGGGUGUGCGGAGGGGGUAUCUGCGCCCUGGGGUCCAUGUGUUACGCUGAGCUGGGCGUCACCAUUCCCAAGUCAGGGGGAGACUACUCCUACGUCACGGAGAUAUUCGGAGGACUGGUGGGGUUCCUGCUCCUAUGGAGCGCGGUUCUCAUCAUGUACCCCACCACCCUGGCUGUCAUAGCUCUCACCUUCUCCAACUAUGUCCU